GCAGGCGCGUAAAUUACCCAAUCCUGACACAGGGAGGUAGUGACAAUAAAUAACAAUGCCGGGCCUAUCUAGGUCUGGCAAUUGGAAUGAGAACAAUUUAAAUCCCUUAUCGAGGAUCAAUUGGAGGGCAAGUCUGGUGCCAGCAGCCGCGGUAAUUCCAGCUCCAAUAGCGUAUAUUAAAGUUGUUGCAGUUAAAAAGCUCGUAGUUGAAUUUCUGGUGGGAGUGUACAGUCCGACACUGAGUGUUGGUUCUUGUGUGUCUCCGGCCAUCCUUGGAGUGAAUCUAUCUGGCAUUCAGUUGUUGGGUAGAGUAUCUCCAUCGUUUACUGUGAGGAAAGGAAAGUGUUCAAAGCAGGCUUACGCCGUUGAAUCUUUUAGCAUGGAAUAAUAAGAUAGGAUCUUGAUACUAUUUUGUUGGUUUGCGUGUCGAGAUAAUGAUCAAUAGGGACAGUUGGGGGUAUUUGUAUUCCAUAGUCAGAGGUGAAAUUCUUGGAUUUAUGGAAGACAAACUAAUGCGAAAGCAUCUACCAAGGAUGUUUUCAUUAAUCAAGAACGAAAGUGUGGGGAUCGAAGAUGAUUAGAUACCAUCGUAGUCUACACCAUAAACCAUGCCGACUCAGGGUUGACCGGCGUUAUCAUGACCUGGUCAGAACUGUAUGAGAAAUCAAAGUCUUUGGGUUCCGGGGGGAGUAUGGUC
rnacentral:rRNA from 1 species